CUACGGGAGGCAGCAGUGAGGAAUCUUGCGCAAUGGGCGAAAGCCUGACGCAGCCACGCCGCGUGCCGGAUGAAGGCCCUAUGGGUUGUAAACGGCUUUUAAGCAGGAAGAACGACCGGAUUUCGAUCUGGUGUGACGGUACUGCUUGAAUAAGCACCGGCUAACUCCGUGCCAGCAGCCGCGGUAAUACGGAGGGUGCAAGCGUUGUCCGGAAUCAUUGGGUGUAAAGGGUGCGUAGGCGGGCGUCUAAGUCUGGGGUGAAAUCUUGCCGCUUAACGGUAAAAUGGCCUUGGAUACUGGGCGUCUUGAGUGUAGAAGAGGUAAGUGGAAUUCGUAGUGUAGCGGUGAAAUGCAUAGAUAUUACGAAGAACAUCAGUGGCGAAGGCGGCUUACUGGUCUACAACUGACGCUGAGGCACGAAAGCGUGGGGAGCGAACAGGAUUAGAUACCCUGGUAGUCCACGCUGUAAACGAUGCAUACUAGGUGUUGGCCUUUCGGGGCCAGUGCUGCAGUUAACGCAUUAAGUAUGCCACCUGGGGAGUACGUCGGCAACGAUGAAACUCAAAUGAAUUGACGG
rnacentral:rRNA from 1 species